UGGGAUCCCCGCAGCACAGAAUGUCAACAGUGUGUGAUUUACACUCCAUCGCAACCCUCGCUAACACUCCCCCCAUCCCACUCACACCCUGUCCUGGGAGCGGAAGAGAGAAAAAGUGGGAGGAUGUAUGGAAGAGAAGUCUCCGGGUCCGGGGUCAGAUGGCCAGUCUGCCUUUUACUUCAGUUGCCGUGGCACUAGAGGUGACUGAGGAGGAGGAGGAGCUUCUUACACUCCAGGUGGAGUACUGACUGCUGGACUACAGACGACUGGACUACAGACGACUGGACUACAGACGACUGGACCACAGACGAUGAUGGAGGACGACGGGAAAGUUGCAGAGCAUCUUAGUGAAGACAUUAUGAUGUUCAUGAGAAGACCUUAGGGACCUAUCUACAAGUGUUCAUGAGAAGUCACUCCAUCCAUUUGCGUGUUGGCUCCUUUGUUUAUGCUUGUUUAUUUACUCAUCCUUUUAUCCAUUCAUUCAUAAUUAUGUUGAACUGCAUAAAAACUGCACUUAAUGAUAUUCCAAGAUGUGGUAUUGUUGAUGUGAAAGUUCCAGUCUAUAUCAAUAACAAAUUCCAGUCUGUUCAAUCCUAUUCCUGGAUUGUUUGGUUUUCUGAAAUUAUAGACUCAGAAUCAAGAUUAGAAUGACAGGAAUUCCUUAAACUUUUGUGGAAUCAUUAAGCACUGUCAGCCUUUCCUAUCACUGUGUACACCCAUGUGUGCCUGUCAGCGCUGUAGUUUUACAGGAGAGCUAGCUACCACUGUCAUGACUAACAGGCGAAACAUGGAGCGGAGCUGUAGCUAGCCAGUCAAAAAGAAGGACGCAUGGAUAAAGCGUUCCUGACACAUCUUGCACUCAGCCACGGAGCGAUCCGACAGAAGUGAUUUAGCCUGCUCCCUGCUCUCACUCUCUCUUCUUUGGCUUCACUCAGCUCUGAUCAGUUCCACCACCUCUUUCUCUGUGUCAGGCCUAGUCCGAAAGAACCCCUCCCACAACACACACACACACACACACAUAAAUGCUUGGGCUGAUGUGUUUUCCCAUGAUGCUGGCUGGAGAGUGAGUAAAUAUGCCAGCCGCCUUAGAGCAAACAGGCUGACAGCUUGAGACAGACUCGGUCUGAUUGUACUAUGCCCUUCUGCUCAGACAACUCCAGCCCUAUGCAGACAUACACAGAUUUGGAUGGGUUUUCCGCUUUUUAAUUAAGCAUAAAAUCCAGUAAUGUUUGGUCCAGUGUGUAGAAAAAAAAGACUCCUUACAUAUUAAUAAAGCAAAGUGACCCCUCAGACAAACAAACAGCAAAAAAGUGCAUUUGUUUUUUUUUACCAGAGCAGAGCAAAGCAGAGCCUUUUAGUAAUGCAGACCAAUACAGAAGACUAAACAGUCCAGCCACCACGAGAAGCAGAACAGAAUAAAUGAAUACAUCCAUCGACAAUGAAUCCAUCGCAUGUCUCUGAAUGUCUCAGAUAAAUAAGAUGGAUUAUAGUAA